AUUGAACCUGGGUCCUCUAGAAGAGCACCCAGCGCUCUUAACCACUGAGCCAUCUCUCCAGUGCCCUCUUUCUUGUAUCAUUUAUAUAUAGUCAAAUGGUCUCUGCUUAUAGGUCAGUUUCUCAGAGAGCCUCCCGAUCUUCUCGUGCGAAACUGCAUUUGACUUCUCUUUGCACAUCGUGAUCUCCUGAAGGAAACAAAAAAGCAGCUUGAUUACCCCGAGUGCCUCCCUCCGCUACACAGUUAUCGUGUGUAGAAUCGCACUAGAAUGACAGCAGUAAGGAGAGAACAUUUUCCAAAGAGCUGUAGUAGACCCUGGUUAACUGGAGUCUGGACCACAUUCUAACUCACAGGUAUAGCUUUGGACAAGUUCAAGCAAGUUCAGGUGAACUUCGCAACUCUCAGGCAAAGAGCUACUUGCCUUGACUGCUGAACAAGGAGGGUGAGCCUCAGAGAAGACUUCGCCCGGAGCAUCUUUCUUCCUUUAAAAAAAAGGGGUAUGUGUGCUGUAUUGUGUUUCCAUGUGGGUUGUGUGUAUUGUAUGUGU
rnacentral:sRNA from 1 species